GGUAGCUCAGUGGUAGAGUGCUUGCCUAGCAUGCAUGAGGCCCUGGGUUCGAUCCCUCAGUACCA
rnacentral:tRNA from 1 species